UUACGGCCAGAUCACGUUGAAACACCAGUAUCGUUACGAUCACCGAAGUUAAGCGAUGUUGAGCCUGAUCAGUACCUAGAUGGGUGACCGCUUGGGAAAUACCAGAUGUUGUAAG